AGGCUCAGACUCGCUGUGUAGCUGAGGACUACCUUGAACUCCUGCGUCCACCUGCUGAGUACUGGGACUGCAGGGACACACCCCACCCACGUCUGUGUGAACUGGGGACAGAAUCCAGGGCUUCAUCCAAGCUGUGCAAACACUAUCUCAACUGAGCUACAUCCCCAGAGAGGAAGGUUUAACUUAGCUGGGAAUGCCCACCCUGAGUGUGGGCAGCACCACUUGUGAGCUGACUACGAAAGAGAAAGCAAGCCAGCAUUCUCACUGCUUCCUGAGGAGACCGGCCAUCCCAGUUCCUGCCACUGCAGCCAGAGCUACCGCCACCAUGCCUUCACCAUCAUGAUUGACUGUAUCCUCCAACCAUAAACCAAAAUAGACCCCUUC
rnacentral:lncRNA from 1 species